AGCCAUAGCGCAUGCGCUGUGGUAUUACUUUAUCUGCCUAUAGCAGAAUGGCAGAUAUCAUAGCGCAUGCGCUAUGGUUUCUGUAUUCUGCCCAUGGCUCCUGGAUUUUCAAUCUACAUAAAAAUACAUAAUGCAUAGCCACAGGCAUAGGCACAUACAUUCUCCUUGUAGUCGGUCCUUCUAGAAAAGUGAUCAAGAACAAAGAACGGAUUUAUAUUGAUUAACACGCUCAGAGCUCCGCGACUAACAAGACGCAAGCAAACUCGAAUCAAGACGCGUCGAAAGCUAAAUCGGCGCAAGAUCCGAAGACGGAUAGCGAGACGUCGUCGAGUCCGAGGCGAUCACCAGAAAUUGUAAUUUAUUGUAAAAUAAACGCAUCUCAUACUUUUCGAAAUGGAUGAUUACGAUUUGUUGUUAAUUGCUCUGGUCAACAUGGGAGCACUUUUGGUGCAACGUCGUAGAAACCGUGAACGUCAUCGUCGCCGCCGCGCCGUCGGCGUGUCUGGGUACGACCAAUUAACACAAGGAGAAGACAGCAAGGAGCGUUUUACAAUCUUUUUCAGGAGAUGAAAACAGAUGAGCAAAUGUUCCACAAGUAUACACGUAUGACACUGCCAACAUUCCAGCACUUGAUGGACAUUGUUAAUCCAAGUUUAAUUAAACGAAGUCCACGGGCACUUGAACCAGAGCAAAGAGUUGCUUUUACAUUGCGAUUUCUGAUUGGAGGCAAAGUUCCAGCAGUUGCUUUUGCCUAUCGUGUUGGUUUAUCAACAGUACAUAAAAUAAUUAAAGAGACGUGUGACGUAUUUGAAAGACUUUCUUGGUCCUAUCUAUCAACGAACUCCUUCAAGAGAAGAAUAUUUACAAAUUGCUGAGGGUUUUUGGACAUUAUGGAAUUUUCCACAUUGCUUGGGGGCAAUUGAUGGAAACCGUGUCAAUGCUCAAUGCCCCCCUAAUUCUGGGAAGAACAGUGAUGCGGGAAUUUAUGGGAACAGCUACUUGAAUGUGACAAAUGAGAUGCUGGAUAUUCCAGAAGAAACCAGUUGCUUAAGCGGAACCGAUAUACAAGUGCCUUAUUUUUUUAUUGGGGAUGAAGCAUUCCCCAUUGGAAAGCAUUUGAUGCGGCCAUAUGCUGGACGGUAUUUGGGGGAACGCAAAAACAUAUUUAAUUAUAGACUUUCGCGAGCCCGGCGUAUAAUAGAAAAUACAUUUGGGAUUUUGGCAAAAAAGUGGGGUAUAUAUAACAGACCGAUCGCUGCGAUUCCUGAAAAUAUCAAUAAAUAUAUUUUGGCAACUGUAUGUUUGCACAAUUUCUUAAGAAACAAAGAAGGUAAUAUUUUACAAUUUGAAAACAAUGAUGAAAUUAUUGAAAAUAACGAAAAUGGUGCAUUUGCGACGCACAUUAAAGACUCUCUUUGCAAUUAUUUUAUGACCCCAAAUGGAAUGGUCAAUUAGCAGCAUGAUCAUGUAACAAGAGGACAAAAUCAAGACUUUAUCUACAUGUAAACAUUUGAUCGAUUGAUUACACACGUAUCAUAUUGUGAAAUGUAAUGCUAAUAUGUAUUUAUUAUGUGAAUAUAAAAUAAAUAGUACAAAAUUUCUUUAA